AGGUGCGAUCAUACCAGCACUAAUGCACCGGAACCCAUCAGAACUCCGCAGUUAAGCGUGCUUGGGCGAGAGUAGUACUAGGAUGGGUGACCUCCUGGGAAGUCCUCGUGUUGCACCUUUUU
rnacentral:rRNA from 1 species